rnacentral:lncRNA from 1 species
AACACUAUGUAGACUGAGGAGCCUCUGACCAACUCAGCUUCUGAAAAAAAUCCAAACCUGUCCCUGCAGUUUCGGCUGUGCUGUUUCCGGAGUCAAGUAUUGAGGUGGGUUCUGCUGUGACAGGGCUGUUGGAAAGUCGCCCCAAAUCCUGUUGAAGGAGGCUGAUUAGGCCUGGUCUGUGGCAGAAUGGUGCCCAAGCAGGGACCUCUGGACAGAGUUCUUCUGAGAUCUGUAGCUACCACGAAGCGGGACAUUCUGGAAUUUCGUCUAAAAAAAUAAAAAACAGGGGGAACUGCUACAUCCACUCCAGUAGUGACAAGCACAACAGGCCCCAAAAACCUGGGUGCUGUCCCAUGGCGAAAAGUUCACAGAAACUUAGUCUCCUAGAAUCGUGGCAUCCUGUAUAAAGAAUGCUCCAAUGUCCUUGCUUUAGUUGGUAAAUGGAGCUGUGUGCUUUCCCUUAACAUUGCUUUAUUACAAGUGCUCCUAAGGAUUGAUAUUUUGAUAUAUAGCUAAGUUAGAUUCUAGCCAGUCCUUGAUCCGACCUUGGGCAUGGAUAGCUAAGUCACUGCUCUACACAGAAAUUUACCAUUAUCUGGGAAGAAGGAAGUUUGUGACCUAAAGAGGAACCAGAGUAGAUAAUACUUAGAACUAUAGGUAGCUGAGUUACACCAUACACAAGUAUUUACAAUGGCCUAGGGGAAAGGUCGACUAGAGUAGGAACUAUGGCAAGGGCAUUAAGAUUAAGUGGACCUUACCUGGAGCUGUUUUUGAUCCCAGUUGUUAACAUUGAGAUUUACCCCAGUUGGUUCCUGCCAGUUUUUCCAUGUUUGUAUUUCUCUGUUUUGUGUAAGAAUCCAGUAACCUCUUUGUACCUUGCCCGUGUGUCACCCAACUUCCCUAUUUUCUUCUGUAUAAAAAGUUUGAUGCUCGAUUUGACAAAUUACAUUCAGAUCCAGCACAC